rnacentral:lncRNA from 1 species
CAAAAAUACUCAUCACAAUUUCUUUUUAUGGGGAAAGAGGUACCGGGGAUUGAACUCAGGGGCACUCGACCACUGAGCCACAUCCUCAGCCCUAUUUUGUAUUUUACUUAGAGUCAGGGUCUCACUGAGUUGCUUAGGGCCUCACUAAAUUGCUGAGGCUGGCUUUGAACUUGCUAUCCUCCUGUCUUCAGCCUCCCUAGCUGCUGGGAUUACAGGCAUGCGCCACCGCACCCAGCUACUCAGCACACAUUGAGGAUUAAUCAAAUAGUGAGAGCAAGCCCACUAGUGCUUGGCACACAGAAGGUACCCUCAUGUUUCCCCUCAGAUUUCUCCAUUACCUAGGUCCCUGUUUGUUGGCCUCUGGCCAGCCCCCUGUUCACUUCACAGUCAUUUUCCAUCCCAUGCUCAUCCCUCUCUCUGCCCUCCUCAUUCUUCCAUCUCCAGCCCCAUCACCUCUGCUUCCUAAACCUCUAUCUUUAGUUGGUAGCCACUCAUGCAUGCGUCCUUCUGCCAAACAAAACGUGGAGCUCAUGGGCUGUGCUGAGGGGUGAGGGGCAUGAACAGUAAUGACAGAUACAAGGUGUAUUUAAUAGGAGUCAAAACCAUGCACAUGGGGCCUGCAGUUGACCACAAAACUGAAGCUGUCUCCUGUUUCCUGCCCUCGAUUUCCCAAAGGUCUGCUGUCUUGCCUUUAUUACUUCUUUCAUCUUCCCUCUUCCCUCUUAUCUGUCUCCCAGUUCAUUUGUGUUAUUGUUAUUGUUUUUGUUGUUUGUUUGUUUGGUCUGGGGAUUGAACCAGGCACUUAAGCACUGAGCCACAUCUCCAUCCCUUUUUAUGUUUAUUCUUAUUUUAAGACAGGGUCUUGCUAAGUUGCCUGGUGCCUUGUUAAGUUACUGAGGCUGGCCUCCAUCCUCCUGCCUCAGCCUCUCGAGUUGCU